rnacentral:rRNA from 1 species
UACCGAGGGUGCGAGCGUUGUCCGGAAUCACUGGGCGUAAGGGGCGCGUAGGCGGCUUGAUAAGCGUGCGGUGAAAGCCCGGGGCUCAACCCCGGGUCGGCCGUGCGAACUGUCGAGCUGGAGCACUGUAGAGGCAGGUGGAAUUCCGGGUGUAGCGGUGGAAUGCGUAGAGAUCCGGAAGAACACCGGUGGCGAAGGCGGCCUGCUGGGCAGUGGCUGACGCUGAGGCGCGACAGCGUGGGGAGCAAACAGG